GACGAACGCUGGCGGCGUGCUUAACACAUGCAAGUCGAACGGAAAGGCCCUGCUUUUGUGGGGUGCUCGAGUGGCGAACGGGUGAGUAACACGUGAGUAACCUGCCCUUGACUUUGGGAUAACUUCAGGAAACUGGGGCUAAUACCGGAUAGGAGCUCCUGCUGCAUGGUGGGGGUUGGAAAGUUUCGGCGGUUGGGGAUGGACUCGCGGCUUAUCAGCUUGUUGGUGGGGUAGUGGCUUACCAAGGCUUUGACGGGUCGCCGGCCUGAGAGGGUGACCGGCCACAUUGGGACUGAGAUACGGCCCAGACGCCUACGGGAGGCAGCAGUGGGGAAUAUUGCACAAUGGGCGGAAGCCGGAUGCAGCAACGCCGCGUGCGGGAUGACGGCCUGCGGGUUGUAAACCGCUUUCGCCUGUGACGAAGCGUGAGUGACGGUAAUGGGUAAAGAAGCACCGGCUAACUACGUG
rnacentral:rRNA from 1 species